AUGGAGACGCCGAACAGCCUCGCGUCCGUCUCCGGCCCGCCGUCGACGGCGAGGCCGGCGGCCGUGGCCAGCGCUGAGCACGAUGGCAUCAGGUCCAGUAUCCCCGCGGGGAGCGGCGGCGGAGGGGCCAGCGCCGACUCGCCCGAGCAGUUCACCACGGACGACAGCGACCCGGGGCCCCCGUCCGGCUGCUGGCUCGAGGCGAACUUGGACAUGAGGCUCACGAUGUUGUUGCACAGCUUCUUCAUCUGCCCCAGCUCGCGGGUCAACCGCGCGUUAUCCCGCCGCAGCCGGUCGUUCUCCUCGCCCAUAUCGCCGGACGAGGAGCCGGCAGCGGCGCCGCCCAGGCCGGAGCCUGAGCCGGACGGUGCGGCCAGCGGGAGCUCCUCCGCGGAUCCCGAGUUGGACGACAGAACCUGCUCCUCGGAGGAGAGCUGCGGCUCCGGCGAGCCGGAGCGCGUAACCGGCAGCGCCAUAGGGAUCGCCGCAGUGGCAACCGUGACCGCCCCAGCCGCGGCGGCGGCAGCCGCAGCAGCAAGCCCGGCCGACUGGACCACCUUCCGGCGGUGUAUGUCGCAGAGCAGGCGCUUCUCGCCUCGCCGGAAGCAGUCGUUGGCGAACUCCCACCGGUCCGGCACGAUCUUCCUAAAUCCCUAUACGCCACAGCAAGCAAAAUCCAAGGAUCAACGACAUGGGCAUUCCACGCCAAAAAUCCAGAAAGGCCAAAUCCCAACCCGAGCCCGAGGAAUCAACCAACCGAACCCAUCGAGCGAGCGCACGUACGUAGGUGUUGAGCUGCCGCACGAAGCUAGAGAAGUUGUUGUGCUUGAAGUACUUGGGGAGCAGGUCCCGGGCGAACUCCGCCGGCCGCCACACCACGAACGUCGACCCGUCCUCGCCCCACGAGAUCACGUCGUCCACCGCCGGGUCCUCGACGAGCUGGUACGUCUUGGUCAGGAACGGCGUCGGCAGGGACCUCUGCCCCGCCGCGUCCGCCGACGUCGCCAGCCCCGGCAUCGGCGCCGGGAGAGGAGGCUCCGCCCCAGCCCCGUCCGCCGCCGCAGCGCCAUGCUCGGCCGACAUCACGCCGGCGCCUCCUCUGCCCCUCCCGGCCGGAUCUGGCCCGGGGAACCCCGUAGUAGCUUCCAGAUGCGGUAG
rnacentral:rRNA from 1 species